UACAGAGGGUGCAAGCGUUAAUCGGAAUUACUGGGCGUAAAGCGUGCGUAGACGGUCAUGUAAGUCGGGUGUGAAAGCCCCGGGCUCAACCUGGGAACUGCAUUGGAAACUAACGGGCUCGAGUGUGGCAGAGGGGGGUGGAAUUCCACGUGUAGCAGUGAAAUGCGUAGAGAUGUGGAGGAACACCGAUGGCGAAGGCAGCCCCCUGGGCUAACACUGACGCUCAGGCACGAAAGCGUGGGGAGCAAACAGG
rnacentral:rRNA from 1 species